rnacentral:rRNA from 1 species
UACGUAGGGUGCGAGCGUUGUCCGGAAUUACUGGGCGUAAAGAGCUUGUAGGUGGUUUGUCGCGUUGUUCGUGAAAUCUCACGGCUCAACUGUGAGCGUGCGGGCGAUACGGGCAGACUAGAGUACUGCAGGGGAGACUGGAAUUCCUGGUGUAGCGGUGGAAUGCGCAGAUAUCAGGAGGAACACCGGUGGCGAAGGCGGGUCUCUGGGCAGUAACUGACGCUGAGAAGCGAAAGCCGUGGGGGAGCGAACAGG